GCUGAAGUCUCAGGUGUGGGAGCUUUUAAAAGAGGGUUUGGAGGCUCUGCUUAUUGGUUUGGGAUUGUUUUGUGGUGCUUGAGAUGAGGGUACAGGGCCAACUGAAGCCUGAACCUGAGUGACAACACUGACUACUUCUGGCACAUCUCAAGAGCAAGACUUUGUUACCAGGUUUACAUGGCCAAGUGUUCAAGGAGGUCGUGCUGAACACAGCAAGAGGAAGGUUUCUCAUAUUCAGCUCCAAGGCUUACGUCUGUGCACUUGACAAGCCCACUGUGACGUUUCCUCUGAGAACCCUCUUGGAUGCUUCAGCGGCACAGAGCUUCACGGCUUCCCUCUGACAUUUGAAAUGCAGCCUGAAAAACACCAUAUCUCUAGAUAUCAGCCCACGCGCUUCUUCCUUGUCCUCUUUUUUUAAUAAAGAAACCCCUCUGAAGUG